GAAUGUUUCCGAGGGGGAAAUGUAUUCCUUUCUCUGCUCUCAAAAGGACCAUGUUGAUUGGUGCAGAGCCCUUCUCAUCAUCUCAUGAUCUCAGAGAGGACAUGUCCUGCUCCCUCUGGAGCAGCGAUUGGCAGCUGUUCAGCAAUAAGGAACAUGGCAUAUGUACGUUACAUCCUGCACCGCCAUUUUUUAUAUAACCAGAUUAGGUGGCUUUGCAUUCAUGCAUUAAAAGGGUUGGAACACAUUUUUGUGUCACCGUAAAAUACUUUUCAUGUUCAAUGCCUCUGGUUGGCAUAAUAGGGUUGGUUGCAUAAGCAUCCCUGACCCUAAUGGAUACCCCCUCCCAGGGUUCCUGUGCACAUGAGUGGACAUUCCUACCAUGAUGCAUACAUUAUAGAGGCGUACUCUCAAUUGGUUUGGGAACAUUAUUAAACUGCAGGGCAAACUGUUUCGCUUAUUUAAUUGACCGCUUUUAAUCGCGAAAGUUCAUGUGGGGUUUUGUAGGGGUGGGAUUUAUUCUGUGAAUAUUAUUAUCUGUGGUUGAUCUUGUCAUUUGUUUAGGCAGUGAUGGGACUGUAGCUGCACUUCAGCUGUCUGCCAAGGCCCAGCAUCACUCUUGGUCGGUCCAGGGGGUGAAGGGACAUCUGGAGAGACUGGCAGAUGACAACAACGCCACAGAGAGGGUGAAUGUGUGGGCAGUGCUGGUGAAGGCUGCCAGGGGACAUGAGGUGUGGGACGUAUGCAGAGCUGCUUGCCGCUUCUGUCUGCUCUACGACGACGGCAGAUGGACUGAGAAGGGUCAGAGUCCAGAGCAAGGUUCUCUCCAGAUCAACGCCUCCUCCAGGGACGUGCUUCUUCUCCUGGCCGAAAUCUGCUUCAUCAAUGCUGAGGCCACCGUCCAGAAGCUGCAAUCGGAGGGGGUGGAGCUUAACAGUCCCGC